rnacentral:tRNA from 1 species
GGUUUCGUGGUGUAGUGGUUAUCACGCUCGCUUUACACGCGAAAGGUCCCCGGUUCGAUCCCGGGCGGAACCA